rnacentral:tRNA from 1 species
GGUUCCUUGGCCGAGCGGUUAGGCACCGGUCUGCAAAACCGAUUACAGCGGUUCGAAUCCGCUAGGAACCU